rnacentral:rRNA from 1 species
UACGGAGGGUGCGAACGUUAAUCGGAAUUACUGGGCGUAAAGCGCGCGUAGGCGGUUUGUUAAGUGGGAUGUGAAAGCCCCGGGCUCAACCUGGGAAUUGCAUUCCAAACUGACGAACUAGAGUACGAGAGAGGGGGGUAGAAUUCAGAGUGUAGCGGUGAAAUGCGUAGAUAUUCUGAGGAAUACCGGUGGCGAAGGCGGCCCCCUGGCUUGAUACUGACGCUCAGGUGCGAAAGCGUGGGGAGCAAACAGG